GGUUGCUCCGCUCUGUUGUGUGUGGGCUUUAGGGUUUUUUUUUUUUUUUUCCUUCUUUUUCUACUUCCAUCCUCUCCCCGCCACUGGAAGUCCUCCCGUAUCUAAAUGGAAUUAGUGGAGACCGAAGCCCCUUCUGUAAGGAACAGACAUGACCCAUGGGCGCAGCUUCUUUCACAUUGUAGCAAGUCUAAUCAUCCUACAUUUGUCUGGGGCAACCAAAAAAGGAACAGAAAAGCAAACUACUUCCGAAGGACAGAAACCAGUGCAGUGUGGAACUUGGACAAAAUAUGCAGAAGGAGGCAUCUUCACCUCUCCCAAUUAUCCCAACAAGUAUCCUCCUGACAGAGAGUGCGUCUACAUUAUAGAAGCUGCCCCUAGACAAUGUAUUGAACUACACUUUGAUGAAAAAUAUUCCAUAGAGCCUUCUUGGGAGUGUAAAUUUGACCAUAUUGAAGUACGCGAUGGACCUUUUGGCUUUUCCCCAAUCAUUGGACGUUUCUGUGGACAGCAAAAUCCACCUAUGAUAAAAUCCAGUGGCAGAUUCCUGUGGAUUAAAUUUUUUGCUGAUGGUGAGCUGGAAUCUAUGGGUUUUUCUGCUCGAUAUAAUUUUACACCUGAUCCAGAUUUUAAGGACCUUGGCGUUUUGAAACCAUUGCCAGUUUGUGAGUUUGAGAUGGGAGGACCUGAAGGAAUUGUGGAAUCUGUGCAAAUUGUCAAAGAAGGAAAAGCUUCUGAAACUGAAGCAGUAGACUGUAAAUGGUACAUCCGAGCACCACCCCGAUCCAAGAUAUAUUUACGAUUCUUGGACUAUGAGAUGCAAAAUUCCAAUGAAUGCAAAAGGAAUUUUGUGGCUGUCUAUGAUGGAAGUAGCUCAGUGGAGGAUUUAAAAGCGAAAUUUUGCAGCACUGUUGCUAAUGACGUAAUGCUGCGGACAGGUCUCGGUGUGAUCCGCAUGUGGGCAGAUGAAGGCAGUCGAAGCAGCCGAUUCCAGAUGCUCUUCACAUCUUUCCAAGAACCCCCUUGUGAAGCCAACACAUUCUUUUGCCACAGUAAUAUGUGUAUUAAUAAUACAUUGGUCUGCAAUGGACUUCAGAAUUGUGUGUAUCCUUGGGAUGAAAACCACUGCAAAGAAAAAAGGAAAGCUAACCUAUUGGACCAACUUACCAAUACCAGUGGGACUAUAAUUGGGGUGACCUCUUGCAUUGUGAUCAUCCUCAUUGUUAUCUCUGUUAUUGUACAAAUCAAGCAGCCUCGUAAAAAAUUUGUCCAAAAGAAAACAGACUUUGAUCAAACAGUGUUCCAGGAGGUGUUUGAGCCUCCUCACUAUGAGUUAUGCACCCUUAGAGGGACAGGGCCUACUGCUGACCUUGCUGAUGUUGCAGAUGACUUUGAAAAUUAUCAUAAACUGCGGAGAUCAUCUUCAAAAUGCAUUCAUGACCAUCACUGUGGAUCACAACUGUCUAGCACUAAGGGCAGCCGUAGUAACCUCAGCACAAGAGAUGCUUCUGUCUUGACAGAAAUACAACCCCAGCCUGUAAAACCCCUCAUUCAGCCCGUGAACAGGAGAAAUAUCCUUGUCAUGAAGCAUAGCUACUCACAAGAUGCUGCAGAUGCGUGCGAGAUAGAUGAAAUUGAAGAGGUACCAACCACAAGUCACAGGCUGUCGAGACAUGAUAAAGCUGUCCAGCGGUUCUGCCUCAUUGGGUCUCUAAGCAAACAUGAAUCUGAGUACAACACAACUAGGGUCUAAGAGAAAAACCUGAGGAGAAGGAACCCUGCUUGUUUGCAAACUCCCAGCACCACCAUAGGAAAAAAGGGAAGCACCUUGCCCUUCAAGCAAAAAACUGUUACUAGGAGUAGAGUUACAACCCAGCAGCCCAUGCUAAAAAAAGGAAGGACCGAGACUGCUCAGAUUUCAUUACCGAAGGAGCAAGCCUGACCAACAGCACCAAGCAGCAUUGCAUUCCUACACUCUUACAUAAGGGAGGCUGAAGUGCGAACCUGCUUCAUCCCAGGGGGCAGGACAUCACAACCGAUGCCUGAGAAAUCUGACUGAAAUGAAGGGACUGAAUAUAUCUAGGAAUGGAAAAUGCCCCCAGAGAAGGUUUUCACUGAAAAAGACAUUGGCUUCACCUUUCCACUUCCAGUGGACUGCAGUCAUAAGUGAAAUUUGUUCAGCCAAAAUUGCCGGGACCUUAAUUCCCCAGGCUACUGGAAAGACAUCUUAUUAUUAAUUCUGCGUUAAUGAAGAGAUUGGAUUUAGGGCAUGAUCCAGAGCCCAUUGUAGUCAAUGGGAGUCUUUUUCCAUUGACUUCAGAGGGGUUUGGAUCAGGUCUUUACUUCCUAAAAUGAAUAGACUCCCUGCAAAAGCCUGCUGUAAGUGAGUGGCAUCCUUUCCUGAUACCUUAGAAGAUGCUGAAGAUUUAAUAGCUGUAACUUGCUCAUGAAUAUGUAUGGCUCAUUGCUCAUGGGGAACAUCCAGUGUAUCUUAAAAAUAAGGAUAACCCUGAAAGUCUAAGAAUUGCUGGUCAACUUUAGAAUGCUUAAUUUAGAAAGCAGGAAUUUAUCUCUAUACAAUAAAUUGGUAAAAGAUGAGGAAUAUUGCAGAUUAAUUUCUAAUUAUUUCUUAGUUCCUGAGGGAAAGGGGAGAAUUUAAGUUUAAAAUUCCUGUAACUCUAGUAUGUGAAACCUUGAAAUUCAGAAACAAAAGUCAAUAUUGCUAGAGACUUCAUUUCCCUGGCACAAAUACUGUAAUGAAAGCUAAUAGUGCCAAUACAAAAACAUACACUUUCAUGUGUCUGCUGAGGAAUAAUCGUUUUCAAAAUGUCUAUUUCUAUAACAGGAAUCCAGACAUGUUACAAAGUUGCUGCAAAUUAAAGGAUUUUUUUUUUAAGAAAUGGUAGAGAUUUUGGUUUUUCCCAAAUAAGUUUAAAGAACUUUCUCAAAUUGAAGAGAAAAUAUAAAAAUUUAAAUCCUCCUCCCUACUUCUUGAAUCCAUAUAAGUCAUGUAAGUGUCACAUAAGUGUCUGAAAUCCUAAAUGUCUGGGAGCACAUACUAAGCAAUGGAUUCAAGCUUUUGGCUUCAGAUUCUUGAUUAGUUACAUGAUGCCUGACUUCACAUAUCUGCAGGACAUAUCUCUAUGUCUGACCUAGUCACUUAGGAAUUUCUUUUCAGAUAGUAUGGGCACUUUUAUAGCAGAAAUGUUCUAAUGUUCAUGCAGUUGUUUAAAACAUAUCUGACGAGCUGUGUUCAAGAAGUAUCUGUAUCUCUCCACUGAUUAUGAAGGGAAUAAAUACAACUUACUCGCACAUAAAUGUUUGCCUUUAUUAGUAUAAUUUGCUUCUCCCUCCCUCCUCUGUUGAGGUACAUGAACUGAGACCCCUAAAACUUUGUUACCAAGGCAAGAGGCUCAGGAGCCGGGUGGUCAAGAAAACCUCUGGACUUCCAGCAGUCGUAACUGCAAUAGUGAGAGAGCUUAGACACUGCCAAUCAGUUUUCUUGGCUCUAAAACAAAUGACACCCUUGUUACCUCCUUCUCCUUUUUGUCCUUUGAUAUGAGGAUGCCAUUUCUGGCCAAAAACCUGAAACAAUCAUUUUCUGAUACCUUGAGGAAAAUUCAGUCAAAAAUUAUCAUUUCCUCUCUGUCAUACCUGGAAAGAGUUAUCUGUAACACAAACUUCACAUAAUCUUCAACAAAACUAAUAAUUUCUGGUGAACAAAUAGUAUGGGGCAGAUCCUUGAGGCAUCUAGGCGGCUUCACUCUCCGCCAAUAAAUCCGUAAACCUGGAGACGCUGGUUGACUGAAAUGGAACUUGGAAAGGGAAAUGGAGCUAUCUGAAAAAUCUGUUUUAGAAAGAUAAUGAUAUAGUGGAACUCCUCAAGAAUUCUGCUUUUCAUAUCCAAUUCAAAUGUUUUUUCCCAUUCUCUUUGCUGUCAUUCGAAAUUUAGUAUUUUAAUCUCUUCAGUUAAUGCAAAUUUCACAGGAAACAUUUUAGCCAAAGUAUAUAUCUUAAUUGGCUCAAUUAUUUGAUAUGUUUUCUGCUAAUUUAUUUUCUCAUAGAAAGAUGCACUUCUUAUUAGGUAUCCCUUAUGAUAUUUUGUAUCUUCCCUGACUGAUGUGCCCCUCCCUACUUGACUGGUUUCAUUCGUGCAGACAACAAUCUUGGGUAGGUCAAUAAGGCUCUUUGACCGUUGGAAAGGUGCAUCAUUAAGUUUUGCAAAGUUAUAUCCUGUUGGACAGAUUGGCAUAACUGUAGAUAAUGAUGCACCCAAACUGUAAAUCUGGAUACCUAAAUUGUAAAUACAGUCUUCAAGUUGACCUUGGGUUACAGUUUUUUGAAAGCUACUAUUAUACUGUAUA